rnacentral:lncRNA from 1 species
GCGGCCGCGGGCGGAGCGCGGAGCGGCGCGGAGGAGCGCGGCGGGCGGAGCGCCGGGAGCGAGGUGGCUCAGACAUGGACCGUGGCGAGCAAGGUAGGCGGCUGCUGGCUCCUGGCUGCCGAGCGGAGCCCCGGAGCCGCGCCUGGGAGACCCCAACCCGGUCCGCUUCGUGGCGGAGCCGGGGAGUCUCUUACCAGCGCGGAGCGGGAGGAGGGCCCGCGCCGCGGGAGCGGGAGAGUGAGUGUGCUCCGGCGUGCCCGAGCGACUGUGCGCGGUCGCGUGCGAGUGUGCGGGGAGGAGAAGGGUGGCGAGAGGCCACGGAGGUGCUAGGAUGCGCGCAGGGAGGGCCACCGCGCUGGCUUUGGUGUCACCAGCAGAUCCUGGAAGUGAUGGCGUUUUGAUGGGACCAAGACUUGUGAAGACUUCCUGCUCGCCAGUUGGGAUUGUUGGUGGCCUUUGAGCCCGUGAGCCACAGUGUUUGGAUGUAGAUAUUUGCCAUAAGAGGAGUCCCCAAACUGUAGAGUGCAGUCUGUGGGUUUGGUUGGGGGAAGGGAGCUUUCACGACCUGAGUCUUAGUUACCAGCCAGGUGAAUCGCACAGUAGGGAACCUUUGGUUUCCCGCACCAAGGUGUUCCUUUUACUUCCUAAGAUAGCUAGUCAAGUGAAAUUGCCCGGAAUAGAAUCAACGGAGAUGUGGCCAGAAGCAGAUUAUGAUUUUUAAUGGAAAUAUUGCCUACAUUGGAGAGCUCUGCUGUGAAACUGGCCUGGUUGGGCACUCCUGAAAAGGGUAUAGGAGUGCUAAAGAAAACGCCAAGUGUUUUGGAAGUGGUUUUAGGAAUCAUUCCUGGUGUUUGCCCCUGGUAUGAGUAUCAAGGAUGAGUCUUUGAAAAUGUAAAUAAAACUGUAUUUCACAAGU